GACGAAGGACCCGAGCGUUAUCCGGAUUCAUUGGGUUUAAAGGGUGCGUAGGCGGAUUGAUAAGUCAGUGGUGAAAGCCUGUUGCUUAACAACAGAACUGCCAUUGAUACUGUUGAUCUUGAAUAUGUUUGAUGUGGGCGGAAUAUGACAUGUAGCGGUGAAAUGCUUAGAUAUGUCAUAGAACACCGAUUGCGAAGGCAGCUCACAAAAACCCAUUAUUGACGCUGAGGCACG
rnacentral:rRNA from 1 species